GAGAGGGAAAAAUAGCACACCCUGUAUCUCCCCAGUUGAGUAGUCAGAUAUUUAAUAAAGACAAGACCUCUGGACUUGGCAGCACAGGACAGAAGAAAGAGGAGUCCUCAGCAUUUUCUGUUCCCGAGGCUGAAUGCUGUCACAAGCUGAUGAUUUGCGGUGGGACAGAAGUGGCCAAAGAGGCAGAAGGUAUGUACCCAGGGUUGAGUUCUGCUGUCUGAGCAGCGAUUACAAUUGCUAUUUUGGAAGGCUUGGAAAAAUUCCCUGUGUAGGUGUGAGUUCCCCUGACAUCCUCAUGUAAGAUCCUUUUAACAGCCUGGGACUGUAGUUCCUAAGCAAAAUACAUUAAGGUUUCUGUGUUCCUUUCAGGAAAUAUCUUGUCUGCCUUGUGAGGAAGGGGAGUAAUGCAGCGUCCCUUGAAUAUGCUAAGUCCCUCCGAAAAACAUGCUUGCUUGUUUGUUCCUUUGAAGUGUGUGUGUGUGUGUGUGCGCGCGCGCGCGCUCCUGCAAGCACAAAAGCAGUUAAAGAAGAAGAUUGUGAUUGGUUGAUACCAGGAACUUUUAGUUUUUCUUUGUGCUGAGAGAAAUUUAAAAAAAAAAAUAGGUCAGAGGAUUUCUUGGAAUAAUUCUACUUUCAGAGGCUUGGCUGAACUUCUCAGCAAAAGUCCUUGGUUGGCCACCCGCUAAGGAAUGAACUUCACCAGUUCUGGACCCUGGAGCAGCCUGCACUGUUGGAAAGUCUUACUCUCAGACCGAUGGCACAUGAAGACUUUGGACAGCUGAUUGAACAAGUGCUCCGUGGCCCAUUUUCAUGCUUCCACGUGGAACCCAGGUGAGGCAGCCCAGGUGAAGAGUGUUAAUCCAAAACUGCACAGGUACAUGACCAGGGGCAGCCCGGCCGGGUGUGGUGAAUACUGUGUCUAUACAUCAGACAGAUGGUGUCAAGGGGUUGCUCUCUUCCUUAAAAACAAAACAAAACAAAACAAAACA